rnacentral:tRNA from 1 species
UCGGGUGUAGCUCAAUGGUAGAGUUCUGGCCUUCCAAGCCAGCUGUGAGGGUUCGAUCCCCUUCACCCGCUCCA